UGGGGAAAAAUAUGCUCAAUAAACGUAUCUGGAUCCAUCAGGCUAUCAUUCUUACAAAUCAAUAUAAAUGGACAGAGAGACACUGCACUCACCAGUCCCGCAGUGAGAGACGGGGCAGACUGGCCAAAGGACUGACUCCUCAUGCGGACCAAGUUAUUGGGCUCCCCUGUGUGCUGCUGCCAGGCCAGCUGACUCACUCCUCCAUGCAUACUGCUGGACAGAGGCAGAAGCUGCUUUCCUGCGGCACACAGAACAAGCCAGAGUCACGACAUGGACUUGGCAUGAACACCCAGCAACAAACCAAAUGCUGGUAGGCUUCAGCUGUGGCGGGUUAGACAAGGAUGACCAUCGAGAAGCAGCACAACUGACAAAAACAACUGAGUUUGUGUGAGCAAAAGAAAGUAGGUGAGAACCGAGUGCAGAGAAUGAUCACGAAAAUGGAGAGACUCUCACUCACUGACAAGGGCUUUAAGACUCAUUCACACUACAACCGGCUUGCAGUGGCAAAGCAACCGUUCAUUUCAACGAAGAGCAAGCUACUUUCAUCGAUCUCCAUCUACGCAAUCGAUAGCAAUCAUUGGCGACCAGGUUGGCAUGUCAAGCAUUGGUAUGUCGAGCGUUCAACUUUGUGCAAAUGAAAAGUGACUACCUUGAGCGACAGCCAACAGGAGCACGAGUACAGCUAACGUGAUCCUCUCUCUACUCGCUCAGAAGCAGGUUGUAUUCAUGCUGUAUAUACCUACACAGACCUGCGUUUGCAGCAGUUCACCACCCAGAGCAAUGGACAGCUACAAAAUCACUGCUAGUGUGAAUGAGGGAAAUUAGUGUCGCGUGCUCAGCUAAUGUGUUGUGAGCAAGUAGUUAAAUGGUUGCGCACUCCCUUUUCCUUGAGUAAAUUAGCAACCGUGUCUG
rnacentral:lncRNA from 1 species